GAUGAACGCUGGCGGCGUGCCUAAUACAUGCAAGUCGAGCGAACAGACGAGGAGCUUGCUCCUCUGACGUUAGCGGCGGACGGGUGAGUAACACGUGGAUAACCUACCUAUAAGACUGGGAUAACUUCGGGAAACCGGAGCUAAUACCGGAUAAUAUAUUGAACCGCAUGGUUCAAUAGUGAAAGACGGUUUUGCUGUCACUUAUAGAUGGAUCCGCGCCGCAUUAGCUAGUUGGUAAGGUAACGGCUUACCAAGGCGACGAUGCGUAGCCGACCUGAGAGGGUGAUCGGCCACACUGGAACUGAGACACGGUCCAGACUCCUACGGGAGGCAGCAGUAGGGAAUCUUCCGCAAUGGGCGAAAGCCUGACGGAGCAACGCCGCGUGAGUGAUGAAGGUCUUCGGAUCGUAAAACUCUGUUAUUAGGGAAGAACAAAUGUGUAAGUAACUAUGCACGUCUCGACAGUACCUAAUCAGAAAGCCACGGCUAACUACGUG
rnacentral:rRNA from 1 species